UAUCAAACGCCAUUGUCAAACUUCUAGGCUUACAGGAAGGCGGCGCCGAACAUCCGACGUUCACGUUUUCGCGAUGAAAACGUCGGCCGCAACCUCUCUAUAAUCUACUUGCAAAAACACCUCAAAUGAACUAGAUGUAUUUUCGGUUGUGGUAUAUAUGUUAUUCCGAGUCGUAUUGGUAUUCUCGAUCGCCAUAUGUUAUUCCAGGAUAUAAUGUCGACCGAAGAGGGGCCGAAACGCGUCUCGACAAAGUUCUAAAAUAAUCCAAGUGUGUAUGAAUUCACCCAGUCGUGACAUUGAACCAAACAAGAAAAAGAAGACACUGUUUCGAUACAUUCAUACAAUAAAUAUCUCAACUAUAAUUAAGUUUACAGUCAGAAGCCGUUUCCGCAGAGUCAUGGAAAACUUGUGUUGGCCCAAGAUUAAAACAAGUCCUUUCAGCCAUUGUUUUCUCAACAAAUGAAAUACGUAGAGUGUAAAACUAAUAUCAAUAAUAUUCGCCGGAUACAAUUACUGGACAAUGGGGGGAAUAAACAUUUCGAGAAACAUGCGAACGAAAUUGUUGGACAGCCCCUUAAGAAGGUGCGUUACAUAAUUUAUGGACGAUCUCAACUCAAAGUCCGAAUCUUGGCACUGUCCGGUGUCAUUAUGAUUCACGUUUGAGGAAUGCGAAACAUGUUACCAAAA